rnacentral:rRNA from 1 species
UACGGAGGGUGCAAGCGUUAAUCGGAAUUACUGGGCGUAAAGCGCGCGUAGGUGGUUUGUUAAGUCAGCUGUGAAAGCCCCGGGCUCAACCUGGGAAUUGCAGUUGAUACUGGCCGACUAGAGUACGAGAGAGGGAGGUAGAAUUCCAUGUGUAGCGGUGAAAUGCGUAGAUAUAUGGAGGAAUACCAGUGGCGAAGGCGGCCUCCUGGCUCGAUACUGACACUGAGGUGCGAAAGCGUGGGUAGCAAACAGG